GAUAGUGUGUAAAUGAACGGACAUGACAGCAAACAGACAAUAGGUGGGAACAUUGCUGAUAUGAGUGGACAAGCAACUGGUAGUGUUGGUCAUCUUGGCAUUGUGCGUGCAGCCAUCGCAUUCUGUUGAUGUGGAGUGCAUUGGAAGCAAGGGAGAACCGGGUGUUCCCGGAGUUCCUGGUCCUCCAGGAAGACAGGUGAGUGAUGGAUGUAGAAUAUAUCUAUUGAGGUACUAGUCAUUAUGAUAGAAAAU